rnacentral:rRNA from 1 species
AACGAACGCUGGCGGCAGGCCUAACACAUGCAAGUCGAACGCUCUCUUCGGAGGGAGUGGCAGACGGGUGAGUAACACGUGGAACCUACCCCUUGGUACGGAAUAACUGAUGGAAACGUUAGCUAAUACCGUAUGAGCGCUGAGGCGGAAAGAUUUAUCGCCAAGGGAUGGGCCCGCGUAGGAUUAGCUAGUUGGUGGGGUAAAGGCCUACCAAGGCGACGAUCCUUAGCUGGUCUGAGAGGAUGAUCAGCCACACUGGGACUGAGACACGGCCCAGACUCCUACGGGAGGCAGCAGUGGGGAAUAUUGGACAAUGGGCGCAAGCCUGAUCCAGCCAUGCCGCGUGAGUGAUGAAGGCCUUAGGGUUGUAAAGCUCUUUCACCUGGGAAGAUAAUGACGGUACCAGGAGAAGAAGCCCCGGCUAACUUCGUGCCAGCCGCCGCGGUAACAC